rnacentral:misc_RNA from 1 species
GAUCAUUACCGAGUUAUUCAACUCAUCAACCCUGUGAACUUACCUAAACGUUGCUUCGGCGGGAAUAGACGGCCCUGUAAAACGGGCCGCCCCCGCCAGAGGACUCUUAACUCUGUUUCUUAUAAUGUUUCUUCUGAGUAAAACAAGCAAAUAAAUUAAAACUUUCAACAACGGAUCUCUUGGCUCUGGCAUCGAUGAAGAACGCAGCGAAAUGCGAUAAGUAAUGUGAAUUGCAGAAUUCAGUGAAUCAUCGAAUCUUUGAACGCACAUUGCGCCCGCCAGUAUUCUGGCGGGCAUGCCUGUUCGAGCGUCAUUACAACCCUCAGGCCCCCGGGCCUGGCGUUGGGGAUCGGCGGAGCGCCCCUCGUGGGCGCACGCCGUCCCCCAAAUACAGUGGCGGUCCCGCCGCAGCUUCCAUCGCGUAGUAGCUAACACCUCGCGACUGGAGAGCGGCGCGGCCACGCCGUAAAACACCCCAACUCUUCUGAAGUUGACCUCGAAUCAGGUAGGAAUACCCGCUGAACCUAAGC